rnacentral:rRNA from 1 species
UACGUAGGGCGCAAGCGUUGUCCGGAAUUAUUGGGCGUAAAGAGCUCGUAGGCGGUCUGUCACGUCUGCUGUGAAAACCCGGGGCUUAACCCCGGGCUUGCAGUGGAUACGGGCAGACUAGAGGCAGGUAGGGGAGAAUGGAAUUCCCGGUGUAGCGGUGAAAUGCGCAGAUAUCGGGAGGAACACCGGUGGCGAAGGCGGUUCUCUGGGCCUGAACUGACGCUGAGGAGCGAAAGCGUGGGGAGCGAACAGG